UACGGAGGGUGCAAGCGUUAUCCGGAUUCACUGGGUUUAAAGGGUGCGUAGGCGGGCAGGUAAGUCAGUGGUGAAAUCUCCGAGCUUAACUCGGAACUGCCGUUGAUACUAUUUGUCUUGAAUAUUGUGGAGGUAAGCGGAAUAUGUCAUGUAGCGGUGAAAUGCUUAGAUAUGACAUAGAACACCAAUUGCGAAGGCAGCUACUACACAACGAUUUGACGCUGAGGCACGAAAGCGUGGGGAUCAAACAGG
rnacentral:rRNA from 1 species